AUUGAACGCUGGCGGCAGGCCUAACACAUGCAAGUCGAACGGUAACAGGAAGCAGCUUGCUGCUUUGCUGACGAGUGGCGGACGGGUGAGUAAUGUCUGGGAAACUGCCCGAUGGAGGGGGAUAACUACUGGAAACGGUAGCUAAUACCGCAUAACGUCGCAAGCCCAAAGAGGGGGACCUUAGGGCCUCUUGCCAUCGGCUGUGCCCAGAUGGGAUUAGCUAGUAGGUGGGGUAACGGCUCACCUAGGCGACGAUCCCUAGCUGGUCUGAGAGGAUGACCAGCCACACUGGAACUGAGACACGGUCCAGACUCCUACGGGAGGCAGCAGUGGGGAAUAUUGCACAAUGGGCGCAAGCCUGAUGCAGCAAUGCCGCGUGUAUGAAGAAGGCCUUCGGGUUGUAAAGUACUUUCAGCGGGGAGGAAGGGAGUAAAGUUAAUACCUGUGCUCAUUGACGGUACCCGCAGAAGAAGCACCGGCUAACUCCGUG
rnacentral:rRNA from 1 species